rnacentral:rRNA from 1 species
AUUGAACGCUGGCGGAAUGCUUUACACAUGCAAGUCGAACGGCAGCACGGACUUCGGUCUGGUGGCGAGUGGCGAACGGGUGAGUAACAUAUCGGAACGUAUCCAAUAAUGGGGGAUAACGAGUCGAAAGAUUCGCUAAUACCGCAUACGCCCUACGGGGGGAAGCUGGGGACCUUCGGGCCUGGCGUUAAUGGAGCGGCCGAUAUCUGAUUAGCUAGUUGGUGAGGGAAAGGCUAACCAAGGCGACGAUCAGUAGCUGGUCUGAGAGGACGACCAGCCACACUGGAACUGAGACACGGUCCAGACUCCUACGGGAGGCAGCAGUGGGGAAUUUUGGACAAUGGGCGCAAGCCUGAUCCAGCCAUUCCGCGUGAGUGAAGAAGGCCUUCGGGUUGUAAAGCUCUUUCGCAAGGGAAGAAAACUUAGCCACUAACAUUGGUUGAGGUUGACGGUACCUUGAUAAGAAGCACCGGCUAACUACGUGCCAGCCGCCGCCGUAA